GGGAAUGUGGCUUAGUGGUAGAGUGCUUGCCUAACAUGCAUGAAGCCCUGGGUUCGAUUCCUUAGUACCA
rnacentral:tRNA from 1 species